UAGGUCAGACGGGUCAAAAACGAGGUAUCGAGACCUCGAAUUUGAAAAUCGAGCUAUAAAUAUUUUUAUAAAUAUUUAUGAAGUGUCAUUGAGUUAGUAUUAAAGUUUCGUUAGAAAAUUUUGAUGUUUGGAUAGCUAAUUAAUUAAAAAGGACUAAACUGAAAAUAGCUCAAAAUUUGUUAAAUUGUGAGUAAAUAGCUUAAGUAUUUAAAAAGAUGGAUUUAAAGAGCAAUUAGACCCAAAGGUUAAUGGCUGGACGGUUUGGGUAUGAAAUAAGCAAGAAAACAAUGUGAACAAGGGACAAAAUUGGAAUUAGCAUAAAAGUUAAUAGUUAAAAAAAUGAUGUAAUUGAAAAUCUAGACAUUUCUUCAUCUUUCUCAGCCAGAAACGCCGUAGCAGGUCUCCUAUGCUGGUUUUUCAUAUUUUUGCACCAUAUCAAGAAUCCAAAGAAGAACGAGGAAAAGAAAAAGUAAAGGACUAAAUUGUAAGGUUUAGUCACAUUUUGUAUCAAGUACUUAUCUAGUCACUCGGGGAUCGAAGGAAAUGUCGGAGGCCGAUCACACUAUCAAAGAAAUAACUCAGUAUAACUAGACGUUUUGUUUUGGGUAUGGCAUGUAUAGAAACUUAGCUACUUUUGGUAUAAUAUGAAUAAUGAAUGAUGUGUAAAUACUUGCUAGUGAUUAGCUAAGAAAAUAGCUGAUGAUAUACAUGUUUAUUAAUAUGUAUGAUUGAA